AUGGUACUGAAGGCUAUUUUGAGAAAUCAUUAGUUGAGGUAAUGCAACUCGUGCUUUCUUUGUUCUGAUGAGUGCUUAGCGCACUAGUGAUGAAAGCAGAAAAUGUGAUUCUGUGUGUUAACACUGCAGUGAUGAGCUCAACCAGCUUUGCUUAAUUUAAGGUCACACCCUGGUAGCAUGGGGGGGCAACUCAAUAUUAGGAAGGUGUUGCUAAAGUUGAUUUCUAUUGGUGUGGGGGUUUAAACAUUCAUCAGAAAUUAUGAGAAGCUUUUCUGGCUGCUCUGAAAUCAGUUAAGAUUGUCAGGAAAUGAUCGAUACAGUGUAUUUCCUUAUUUGAAUACACUUCCAAUAAGUUUCUCUGGAUGAGAGCGUCUUCUAAUGACUGCGUCAUCGAUUGCUUUUCUAUUCCUCUGAUAACUCUUAAUCAGGUUUGAGAGUGAAACCCAGGGAACAUUUUUGUUUGUCCUGUUUGCAGGGAUUGAUUAAAUCCAACUCACUCUAACUGCCUUUUUUGUCUGGAGCGGCACAUUUAUUUUUUAUUUAACCUUUAUUUAACUAGGCAAGUCAGUUAACAACAAAUUCUUAUUUACAGUGACGGCCUACCAAAAGGCUAAAGACCUCCUGCGGGGACGGGGACUUUAAUUCCCAAAAAUAAUUAUACAUAAAACAUAUAAAUAUAGUACUUUGAUAGUAGACUAAACGACUGACAACAAGUGAUUAGACAAGUGAUACAAUUAGGGGAAAGCGUGAAUAGCACUUAAUAAAUCAAUCAUUUGAUCAAAUCUAUUUAUAAAACCCUUUUAACAUCACAAAGUGCUUUUUAUGAUAAUCACAGAUGCUUCUAAGUGUACUGUGUUAAUCGUAUCGACAGUAGUCUUAUUACCAUACGUUUGUACACUAGUGGUUCUUCUAAUCUCAUCUGUGUAGAGACAAUAGACAGUGAGCUAGACUAGAGAGUAGGCACUGUGUUUUCCUUCUGUUAUUGAUCAUUGGGACAGAGCAGGGAACAGGUUCAGAAAGAUAUGUCUGUUUGCAGAGUGGCUUGUUGGCACACAUAAUAGACCUGCGGUAGAGACAGGCCCCUGUGUGCGGAUGCUGGGGUGUGUGUGUGUGUGUGUGUGUGUGUGUGUGUGUGUGUGUGUGUGUGUGUGUGUGUGUGUGUGUGUGUGUGUGUGUGCGUGCGUACGUGUGUGUAUGGCUGGAUGGCUUUGUUUGAUCUGACCACUGGACCAUUAGGGCAACAAGAUAAGGACAGACAAUGGCUGCUUACACCCAGGAGAUGGAGGAGAGAGAGAGGGAGAGACAGAGAGAGAGGGAUAGAGAGAGAGGGAUAGAGAGAGAAAGACAGAGAGAGAGGGAUAGAGAGAGAGGGAUAGAGAGAGAGAGACAGAGAGAGAGGGAUAGAGAGGGAUAGAGAGCGAGAAACAGAGAGAGGGAUAGAGAGAGAGACAGAGAGAGUGGGAUAGAGAGAGGGGAUAGAGAGAGAGAGGGAUAGAGAGAGAAAGACAGAGAGGGAGGCAUAGAGAGAGUUGGAUAGAGAGAAAGGGAUAGAGAGAGAGGGAUAGAGAGAGAGGGAUAGAGAGAGAGAUAGAGAGAGAAGGAUAGCGAGAGAGAGACAGAGAGAGGAUAGAGAGAGAGGGAUAGAGAGAGAGAGACAGAGAGAGGGAUAGAGAGAGAAAGACAGAGAGAGAGGGAUAGAGAGAGAGGGAUAGAGAGAGAGACAGA
rnacentral:lncRNA from 1 species